rnacentral:rRNA from 1 species
CGUGUAGGCGGUGCGAUAAGUCGGGCGUGAAAUCCCCGGGCUUAACCCGGGGCGGUCGUUCGAAACUGUCGUGCUCGAGGGUGGGAGAGGGAAGUGGGAUUCCCGGUGUAGCGGUGAAAUGCGUAGAUAUCGGGAGGAACACCUGCGGCGAAGGCGGCUUCCUGGACCACUACUGACGCUGAGGCGCGAAAGCUAGGGGAGCAAACAGGAUUAGAUACCCUGGUAGUCCUGGCCCUAAACGUUGAGCACUGGAUGUAGCCCUUCACCGGGCUGUGUCGAAGCUAACGCAUUAAGUGCUUCGCCUGGGGAGUACGGUCGCAAGGCUGAA